AUGACUCAACAUCAACACACUGAUCAGGUGACAUUAACCUGCUCUGUGAGGACAUGUGAUCAGUGUAGAUUCACAGUAAAGUGGCUGAAUGAUGGUGAAAAUGUGGAAAACAUUUCUCCAAAUCUACAAACAGCCCAGUCUUCCUGUAGUGCUACUGUUACUUUGACUUCUCAUGACACGUCCUCAUCAAGGUCUAAGUUACUGAAGUGUGAAGUGAGGGAUGGAAACAAUAAGCAGCAGUUUACCUUCACACUUCAACCUCCAGGAGAGAAUCCAGUUUUAGAUUUUCCAGAUCGACCGAUUUUCCAGAUCAGGAUCAGGGUCUCUAUCGUCUUUCUGGGUCCAACAACACUUAUAAUUAUUGUGUGGACGAGAACUAAAGGGAAGAAAACUCCGAUGGAUGAAACAGUUCAUGAUGAUGAAGAUGAAGAUGAAGAUGAAGAUGAAGAUGAAGGAACAGUGAAGUUUGAAAAUGUUGGAGACCCUUCUGCUUCUGUCAGAUUCCACUGAUCAACAAUUUUCAGAUGUUUGAUGAACAACUGUUAGUUUAAAGAUUUAUUUAUUUAUUUAUUCAUUGCUGAGCUGCAGCUUGUUUGAUCUUUUCACUCUCAGUAAAUCAGUUUUCAGUUUACUCAGUGUAUCACCUGUGUUAACACGUUAACUAAAGUUCAGUGUUCAGCUCUAAUUCUUAUAGAAGCUUCAUGGAAUCUUUUCUCUUUUUAUUUCAUGUCUCAGUACAAACUAUUCAAUCUGUAUUAUAUUGUUCCUCAACAUGAAUUAAGUUUACUCUCAUUAUUAAACUAUAAAACAUUCAU
rnacentral:lncRNA from 1 species